rnacentral:rRNA from 1 species
GUGGGGAAUCUUGCGCAAUGGGCGAAAGCCUGACGCAGCCAUGCCGCGUGAAUGAUGAAGGUCUUAGGAUUGUAAAAUUCUUUCACCGGGGACGAUAAUGACGGUACCCGGAGAAGAAGCCCCGGCCAACUUCGUGCCAGCAGCCGCGGUAAUACGAAGGGGGCUAGCGUUGCUCGGAAUUACUGGGCGUAAAGGGCGCGUAGGCGGACAGUUUAGUCAGAGGUGAAAGCCCAGGGCUCAACCUUGGAAUUGCCUUUGAUACUGGCUGUCUUGAGUACGGGAGAGGUGAGUGGAACUCCGAGUGUAGAGGUGAAAUUCGUAGAUAUUCGGAAGAACACCAGUGGCGAAGGCGACACACUGGCUCAUUACUGACGCUGAGGCGCGAAAGCGUGGGGAGCAAACAGGAUUAGAUACCCUAGUAGUCC